UUUUGAGAGUUUCAUAAUUUCAGAGGUCCCUAAAUGUUUGAACUUUAUGUACAGCAACAUAACGCAUAAUUACUCAACAGUCCUUGCAGGCUACUAUGUCACUAGGCUGUGAACGACGUGCCAGAUCUCUGCUAUGUUGGAUAUUUGUAUAUAUCAGCAUUACUAUUUUUAUUAGGUCUAUUUAUUGUUCAGUUGGUUAAAUUUGUUUGAACACUGAAGCCUCCGGUACAGCUGUACUGCCGCCCUACGUACGAUACGGAGAAAAUUCGAAAGUGAAAAUAGAAAUCGUGUACAAGUUAACAAUAACCAUCUCGAAGUUGAAGUUAAACAUGCAAUCUGGAACUCGGUAUCACAUCUGACUCGCACUUCUGAAAUGGAUCAAAUCGGACUUUGUCGUCGAGACUCGGAAGAACCCAGCUGCCUAAAUUAUAAUGCCAGUGGAACACAAAACAGAAAAGAUACUUGUAUGCAAGACAUAGAAAAGAGCAGACUACAGCCUCUAUAUACCAUUCCUUGGUGCCUCCUUGAAUUGAUGUUUUUCAGGAUAACCAUGCAGGAAUAAAGGUUAACUCAGUAUAAAGUCUUGCUGACAUGAACAUGAUAAUCACAAGAAAGUGAAUAUAUUUUACCUUAAGCAAUCUUCAAAAUACC